GAUGAACGCUGGCGGCGUGCCUAAUACAUGCAAGUCGAGCGAACGGACGAGAAGCUUGCUUCUCUGAUGUUAGCGGCGGACGAGUGAGUAACACGUGGAUAACCUACCUAUAAGACUGGGAUAACUUCGGGAAACCGGAGCUAAUACCGGAUGAUAUUUUGAACCGCAUGGUUCAAAAGUGAAAGACGGUCUUGCUGUCACUUAUAGAUGGAUCCGCGCUGCAUUAGCUAGUUGGUAAGGUAACGGCUUACCAAGGCAACGAUGCAUAGCCGACCUGAGAGGGUGAUCGGCCACACUGGAACUGAGACACGGUCCAGACUCCUACGGGAGGCAGCAGUAGGGAAUCUUCUGCAAUGGGCGAAAGCCUGACGGAGCAACGCCGCGUGAGUGAUGAAGGUCUUCGGAUCGUAAAACUCUGUUAUUAGGGAAGAACAUAUGUGUAAGUAACUGUGCACAUCUUGACGGUACCUAAUCAGAAAGCCACGGCUAACUACGUG
rnacentral:rRNA from 1 species